rfam:Nomascus siki mitochondrial DNA, complete genome.
GUUUAUGUAGCUUAACCGCCUAAAGCAAAACACUGAAAAUGUAAAGAUGGGCUCGCCCGCCCCAUAAACA